rnacentral:lncRNA from 1 species
AUGGCGCUGUCGCGACCACGCGCGGCGACACAGUGCUCGGCUCCAUCUGCUGGCACUUUGUCGUCCCCGUGCACGGGCCCGGCUCCCACUCGUCCUUUAACUUUGGACUCCACGCUCCGCGGUGCGGAUCAGCCUCUUCCAGCUGUUUCACACUCGUCCUUUCGAGCGCAGCCCUCCAUGGGUCGCUCCCAGUUCUCUGGUGCGAGCGACGGUGGUAAGGGCGCGAACCCAGUCCUCAGACGUUGUUCACGUGACCUCGAACACGCGUCUGCUGUCGGAACGCGUGCAAGAAUGGCGCCGCCUUUGUCGCAUGAGCAAAUGAAUAUCGGAGACCAUUCAUUGCGGUCACACACUCCAUUUUCAGUCCGCUCCUCCUCCCUUCAACGGGAUCGGGGAGAUGACGUUCACUUCACAGGAACAAUCUCAGGCCCUGGAGCUGUGAGAACUUCUGUCCAAGGACGCCAUUUCCCAAGUCCCUCGCGGACAAGAGCUCUCAGGCUUCUACUCCCACUUCUUCGUAGUACCGGAGAAGUUGGGAGGAAUGAGACCAAUUCUCGACCUUUCCCUGUUCAACUGCUCCAUAGCAGUAAUGCAUUUCCGCAUGUUAACAAUGAGGCAAGUCCUAGAAUACGUACGCUCCCGGGACUGGUUCACGUCAAUAGACCUGAAAGACGCAUACUUCCACAUCCCAGUAAUUCCCAAACACCGGAAGUUCCUGCGCUUUUCAUUCAAGGGAGUUCAAUACCAGUUCAAUCAUCUCCCUUUCGGCUACUCGCUAGCCCCGCGCACCUUCUCCAAAUGUCUGGAGACCGCUCUGCAGCCAUUGCGCACGGCGGGAAUGUGGGUUUUAUUUUACCUGGACGAUCUGCUCCUAUGCGCCCGGUCCAAGGACGAGGCGUCAGAGCAACCAGGAAGUUAAUAGAGCAUCUGUCAACCCUGGGGUUUUCCAUAAACUGGGAAAAGAGCUCCAUCCUUCCAUCCCAGUCGAUUGUGUUUCCCGGGAUGGAGCUGAACGCCUCCCUAAUAAGAGCACGUUUGUCUCCGGCGAGGGCGGCAAAUCUCACCACGGUGGUCUCCCGCGUGCAACCCCGCAAGAUCGUGAGAGCCCUGUUAGUCAUGAAACUUCUGGGCAUGAUGGCUGCAGCCCACACUGUGGUGCCAUUAGGUUUACUGCACACGAGACGCCAACAGCAUUGGUUCAUCUGCCUCCGGGUACACCCGAUACGUCAGAAGAGACAUAUGUUGAGGGUUCCCCCUUCAGUGGGCAGGGACCUCGCUCACUGGGGGAAUCCCUGCAUCCUCUCACACGGGGUCCCCAUCGGACGUCCUACGUCACACGUAUCUGUNNNNNNNNNNNNNNNNNNNNNNNNNNNNNNNNCAUGCUUGUCCUAA